GGCCCACCCAUCCUUAAUGAUAUUCUCAGGUGGAAGGCUAACUGUUUAAAUUUUACAGCAUCCCAUACUUACAGGCGCUAUAACGAUUUUGCUGCUACACUUGCUCUCCGGGGGGAUUUCUUUUAUAAUAAGGAAGACUCUUUAAAUCAGGUUUUUCAACUUAUUUUGCAGGCUGAUAUUCAUGGGACUUUAAAUUUUGGUGGGCAGCAUUUUUGUCUGGAGUAAGUUCUAUUUUGCUUUUGCUGGCCUAUCCAUUUGGUGAUGUUAUUUUGCUUCUUAUGUCAGUUCGCAUUUAGUAGUUGUGAUAUUUCUCCACUUUUUGUAUCUGUUUUU
rnacentral:lncRNA from 1 species